AAAAAACAAACAAAAA
rnacentral:sRNA from 1 species